AUUGAACGCUGGCGGCAUGCCUUACACAUGCAAGUCGAACGGCAGCACGGGAGUAAUCCUGGUGGCGAGUGGCGAACGGGUGAGUAAUAUAUCGGAACGUGCCCAGUCGUGGGGGAUAACGCAGCGAAAGCUGUGCUAAUACCGCAUACUAUCUAAGGAUGAAAGCGGGGGAUCGCAAGCCCUCGCGGGAUUGGAGCGGCCGACAUCAGAUUAGCUAGUUGGUGGGGUAAAGGCCCACCAAGGCGACGAUCUGUAGCUGGUCUGAGAGGACGACCAGCCACACUGGAACUGAGACACGGUCCAGACUCCUACGGGAGGCAGCAGUGGGGAAUUUUGGACAAUGGGCGCAAGCCUGAUCCAGCAAUGCCGCGUGCAGGAUGAAGGCCUUCGGGUUGUAAACUGCUUUUGUACGGAACGAAACGGCCCUUUCUAAUACAGGGGGCUAAUGACGGUACCGUAAGAAUAAGCACCGGCUAACUACGUGCCAGCCGCCGCGGUAAUAC
rnacentral:rRNA from 1 species